UACUCGCUGGGGCACCUGUGCCCUGGCGAGUAUAGGUUUCGGCUCUGAUUUUUCUCCGAUUGAUAGCCACAAAAUAGAAUACUAAUGAGCUACCUACUUUUACCCAAAUUAUCUAUAAAUAACCCUAAGUAUUGCGAAAAAUUCAAAAUAUUACUAAAAAAUCCAAAGCUGCUGUUUAUUUUAACCAGUAUGAACAUGUUUACGUUUUUUUAAAACUGACAUUUUACUGCAUUGAGGAUUCAACGACAAGAACAAUGAAUUUGGAGAUGUAUUAAUGCCAAAUAAAUCCUGUUAAGCGGUCAAAAUGACAUCUUAUAGCCCGACAAAAAUAGAAAUACAAAGUAAGAGACAGCGAUCGCCGAUGGCGAUGCACAGGAACAAUUGUAUGAAAUAUAAACUCGAUAUAAGACUGCUAACUAUGCUUUUGUAAGAACAGAGUAGACCAGACACAGUACUAACUAAAUGCGGUGCUUUACAAAUAAAACUUUCAUGCGAUUCUCCCUACAAGCUGUGCUACAUGUAAAGGUUAUAUUUUAUCGUAUUCACUACAGUCCUGUCGGCGGACAGUUGUUCCACACGCUGACACCCAUGGUUAAAACUUCGCCUUAAAACCUUCAAAAUAAACAAUUCACGGAUCAAAAUACUAUCAAAAUGAAGAUAAAAGUGAGACGAACCCAUUCGUAUACGGCCGAAAAGGAGAAAACCAACGAUACGAAAGUUAUCAAGGAAAAUCAAGGAGCAAACGUGCUGCAUUUUUAAAUAGCUGAAUAAUAUAUAAAAUUUUGAGAGCGAUUUGUGACAUUUGUCAACAAUACAAUUUCGCGUGACUUUCAAAGGUCAUAUAUCGCCAGAAUACUGCUGUUCAGUAAUGAAUUUGGUAUCCGUAAGUACAAUUUCGUACGCUGAUUCGAACGAUGGUAUUUUUUCCUUGUUGGGUCACUUGGAUGCAUAUUAAACCAGAGAUAGUCGGUCUCAGUCAGCGAUUUAGACGGGCAAGGAAUUUUCAGAUAGGCAGUGGAAGCAUUUGUUUCGGAACAAAUUCCCCCUUCCCCCCAAACCUCUGUCUGGCGUCUGCUGUUAGGUAGCGGUGCCAAACUUGACACAUCGGUGGGACACCGCAAUUUUGCAACAGGGGACAGAUCACAAUUAACUCUUCAAUCGGCCAUAUGAUUGUAGUACCAAUGUACCAUCACUGUGAUCUGACAAGUGUAUCACUAUCGGCAGCCCAUUUAUAGCUUUUGACCGCUUGCGCUGAGGGACGGACUUGAACCCAACGGACCUUGAAAGUCUACCCAUUAGCCCCAGCGAGUCAACGCUCUUUCGAGCGUCUUGUUAUAAUUUGUACUACGCUAACCCGCUACCCGGAUUCUUGAUCGAAUCAACUAGAAAGUAGAAGUUACUAUCGCAAGGCGAGUGCUGCCUUUAUAAACCAAAGUCUAACUUAGAAAAUAUCGGGCAAAUCGAAAAAAAAAUUUUGAUCUACA